AAACUGAGGCAGAGAGUUAAGUAAUUUGCUCAAGAUCAUCCAGCUAGAAAGUGACAUAGCUGGAGUUCAAACCUAGGUAAAUGUUGUAUGCUUUUCUACGAUGCUGUGGUGCUCUCAGAUUUUCAUGAUUCACUUUCUGCCCUGUGAGAACUCAGGAAGCCACAGGAGAGAAUGAAGCAGGUCGCUGCUCUUCAGAAUCCACACAAGGUCAAAAGAGGCAGCUCUUAUACAGCAGCUGCAUGGAGCCCACUGACAGCUGGACUUCUGGAGGAGGGACAGACUGACAGAGCUGUGACUGUCCCAGGAAAGAGUGACAAGGAGGAUGGACCUCACUGUGUCUCCUGCCACCCCCCCGGUGUCCUGCAAUAAUCCUCUCGUUGGCUGAGCCCUGCUGGAAGACUGAAUGACACGGAGUGUCUAAAGGAGGGAGAAGGACAAAUGGAAAAUAGCCAGCAUGCUAGAAACAUCUGAAGUUGUCUCAGUCCAUUCAGGCUGCUAUAACAGACUGCCAUAGACCACGUGGCUUAUACACAACACAAGUUUAGUUCUUAGUUUUGGAGAUUGGGCAGGUCAAGAACAAGGCUCUGGCAAGAUGCAGCAUCUGGUGCCGACUCACUUGCUGGUUCUUGGGAGGCUGUCUCCUCCCUAUAGGUUCACAUGGCAAGAGGAAAGGGUGUGGAAUCAUACUCUGGAUUUGCCCAACAAUCAAAGGAGCAGCAACUAAGUAUCUCCGCAGAAUCUGGAGGAUGGGCUUGAUCUAGAACAUUGAUAAUGUUCUGACCUGCUGGGCUGGGGGGUAGGGAAGGUAACUAUUGCCGUCUUGCUCUGAUUUACUUUUAGAGAUAGAAGCAUUAAGUCGUAAUGUAUACCAAGAUUUUUUAAAUGAUUGAAUUUUAAAGUUGGAGAAUUUUCUGGAGAAGAGUAUUACUUGCAAGGAACUUCACAGCUUUAUCUCUGGCAUCAUUCUAUAAGACAAAUAUGAGCAAUGAUUUGUUGACCCACUGAGAUACCAUUUUCCUGUCACCCCUCAGGAAACAGAGUAUCACCGGCCUUUACCAAUAGGAAUAAGCCCACAAGAACCAUGGAGUUGUAAAGUGCCUAACCUGGCAUGGAUUUUAAAUACACUGAAGUCUUCUAUCGCUCAAAUUAGAUACUUGGUAAAAUACAGAUUCUCAGGCCAUUUGCCUGAAGAUUCUGAGGUAGCUAGUCUAAGUGUCCCAAGUGAACCUUCUGGUCACACUAGUUUGGAAAACACUAAUACUCUGUAACUUCCUCUUGACCUUAGUUUUCUUACACACUUGACUGAGGCCUCACAAAUAUUUUACGGUUACCAUCACCUUUGAGAAGUUGAAGAAAGCUCUGGACCUCUCCCAGAACAAUAUUUCUACCCAGAGUUUUACAUAUGAUUUCAGAUGCUUUCAGAGAUCUUCGCAGUAUGUCUGUAUCAUCUGUCUUACAAAACCCCAUUGUAUAGGAUCAGCUUAACAUUCCCCAGCCGAGAUUUCACGCUUCCUGUAAUCUUUGUCUCUCCUACUGUUUGAGCCUUGUGCCACAUUAUUCUCAUCAUACUCGGGAGCUACAAAGAUGAGCAUAUUUUUUCAGAUUAUAUUCCUGGACACAUGGAAAAAUUAAAAUCAAAGGAACCAGAAUGGUUUCCUUAAAGUGUAUAUGAGUUUGUCAAAAUACAGAAUAUCAUCUGUUAAGGAAAUGGC